UACGUAGGGGGCAAGCGUUGUCCGGAAUCAUUGGGCGUAAAGAGCGUGUAGGCGGCCCGAUAAGUCCGCUGUGAAAGUCCAGGGCUCAACCCUGGGAUGCCGGUGGAUACUGUCGGGCUCGAGUCCGGAAGAGGAGUGUGGAAUUCCUGGUGUAGCGGUGAAAUGCGCAGAUAUCAGGAGGAACACCAAUGGCGAAGGCAGCACUCUGGGACGUGACUGGACGCUGAGACGCGAAAAGCGUGGGGAGCGAACAGG
rnacentral:rRNA from 1 species